rnacentral:misc_RNA from 1 species
GAUGAAGAACGCAGUGAAAUGCGAUACGUAAUGUGAAUUGCAGAAUUCAGUGAAUCAUCGAAUCUUUGAACGCAUAUUGCGCUCUCUGGUAUUCCGGAGAGCAUGCUUGUUUGAGUAUCAGUAAACACCUCAACUCCCUUUUCUUUUUUGAAAUUGGAGCUGGACUUGAGUGAUCCCAACGCUUUCUUCCAAGAAAGUGGCGGGUUGCUUGAAAUGCAGGUGCAGCUGAACUUUUCUCUGAGCUAUAAGCAUAUCUAUUUAGUCUGCCUAAAAAACAGAUUAUUACCUUUGCUGCAGCUAACAUAAAGGAGACUAGUUCUUGUGCUGACUGAUGCAGGAUUCACAGAGACAGCUUCGGCUGACUUUGUAAACUCGAUCUCAAAUCAAGUAAGACUACCCGCUGAACUUAAGCAUAUCAAUAAGCGGAGGA